UAAUAAGUGUUUUAUGGCACUUUUUAAAUCCAUAUCCACCUUGUGUGCAAUGUCAGUCGGUUUUCUUUUUCGUCAAGAAAAAAAGGAUCGACCAAACAUCAACCUAUUCUAAUUGAACUUUUGUCUGAAAACUAUUAUGAAUAAACUAAUUCAAAAUA
rnacentral:misc_RNA from 1 species